AUCAAACCAGCCAUCAAAGGCACAAUGUAUCUGAUCAUGAUCAGAGGAAGCUUGAGAGCCCCCUUGGUGAAAAAACCCACAAAGAAAACCCAAUCAGGAUUGAGGUUCAUUGCCGUUGUCAGUGUUACCUCAUUGCGAGAGAGGCUCUGAAGCUCCAAGUGUAAACCUUGCACGCCCUGCGUUGCCAGCAGCACAGACUGUCAUGGUAACCACGCGGGACCUGAGAAGGAAAGUGAAAGCUGAAAAUAAUAAUAGUUGAAGUCUUCGGGGCCGAAGUAGGUCAGUGGAGCCAACUGUCAGAAGAAGGAAGAGGGAGAUGCGGAGCAGCCAGUUACAGCGAAGAGUUGAAAGCUUGUGCUGAAGAACUGAGACAGACAUCAGCAUGAUAAUGUAAUGGGAUCUCCUCAGAGCUCAUCUUUGACUGUGUGAUUACAACACACUCAAAAUGAAAUACAGAUGUAAGUGUGUCUCCUGC